CCAAAUUUGGGGAGGCAGCUGGGUGGCUCAGUGAAUUGAGAGCCAGGCCUAGAGAUGGGAGGUCCUUGGUUGAAAUCUGGCCUCAGACACUUCCUGGCUGUGUGGCCCUGGACAGGUCAUUUAACCCUCAUUACCUAGCCAUUACCAAUCUUCUGCCUUCUGACAAUAGGCAUCUAAAUGGAUAAUUAAAAAAAAAACAAGGAACUUUAAAGAGACUGGAGGUUAUAUUUUUAAGGUAUUUCAGACUCCAAUGUUUUAUAAAAAUCUCUCUACUCUAUUGCAUUUUGCUGAUUGUUUUGUUUAAGGUUUAACUGUGAUUUUAAGUUCAUAUAUGACUGCAUUCAAUACUAUUCUGUUACACUGAAUCAUUUUAAUUUACUGGGUUUUAACUACUGUUAAAUUCUGUUGCUUUCCCCCCUAUAACCAUACUGAACAAACAUUAUUGAGUAAGCCCAUGUAAAAAACAAACAAAAACAAACAAAAAAACAAUAGCUUUUCUAUUUUUGACUUUUUAAAUUGUCACAUAGAGGACAGAUGGACUCCAUCAGAAAAUUGUUAUAACAACCUUUGGAAAAUUUUAUGAGCUACAUAUCUCAAAUUGAUUUUAAGGGUUCUUUAGACACAAUUUUUAGAAAUUUUCUUAACAAUCUCUGGUCAUUUUUCCUGCCCAUACCAUGAGGUAAGGCCCAUUUUAGGAGCUGAAUAGUAAUACAAUUAUAAACCCCAACUCCCGCUUUUACAAGAAUGUGAAUGGAAGUUGGGAAGUUAAUCCCAGGGCAAUUAGUAACCCUAGAAGCCUCCCCCCCAAAAAAGGGGAGCAUCUCUUAUUUAUACUCUUUAGCUCAUCACUUUACGUCCACCAGAAUGAUAUCUAGAUUUCUUGAUGAUGUUCAAAACCUGAAAUAAGUUUUACUUUGUUUAAAAAUAUGUUUACCAAGGUUGAAAUAUUUGCUACGUCUGUAAAAAUUGUGACAAAUUGUGGCUUUUAAAAAUGCCACACAGCAACUUAUGUGAAAUAUGAUAGUGGGUUUGUUUGCUAUUGUAAUUAACUGGGCUAUUGAGAAUUUUGGGGAUACUGAUUCCUACAUAUUUGUACUACUGUUCUUUAAAAAUGAAAAAUGUUACCUUGUGAAAUUCAUUUGCUUUUCACUCACAGCGGAUCAUGGCCAGAUAUGAAGAGGAAAUGGAUCUCAUUUUUGGUGCAUCAAAUUUUUCUGGACAGAAGAUUUUCAUCUUCAAACAUUAAGACUACAGUGGUGAGACUAGAGGACAGUCAAGAUAGCUGCUUAAAAGCAGCAAAAAUCCAGACAUCUGAGAAAACCCUUCCACACCAAUUGGAAAUAAAGUGCUUUGAGAGGACAGAGAACCAAAUUUAACAACAGGACAGAACCAGGGGACCUUCCUACUCAAUUCAACUUAAAAGGUACACAGAGAAAGCUGACUUCUUGGGUUUAAUGAAAAGGAAGUAGGAAAGUCCCAGGACCCCUCCCCCACCUAAGGUGCUCACUCUCCAGUGGUCACUGGAAUCUCAGGGCAAGGGCUCCAGCCCAGAGGGAGUGCCUUGCUAUUACAGCUGUGCCAGGCUCAAGGUUCUAGCCACAGCUGUCAAGAAGGCAACUGGAGAAGAGGCAUGGAGGGGAGGGCAGCCUGGUCACAGCUAACACUCUGCUUCUUGGGCCACUGCUUCUCCAGGUUUUAUCCUCAGGGCAUAUCCAGCUCUGCAGAGCAACUCUACCUUGGAUUAAUCUAGUUUCUAUCAAUAGGGUAGAUAAGAAGCCUUCAGAGGGAAGGGAAGCUCAAUCUCCAACACCCUCCCUCUCCUGACUGUGCUGAUAGUUGUGGCAAGAAUCCAGUUGACUGGGAUCACAGGGUGAAGGCUGCAACCAGGCCAGAAUACUUUGAUAACAGGGUGGGAAGCAGAGCUCCCUUCAGCUCUUUACCUUCACGGACCUUAAACUUCUGCUGCCAACUGGGGAAUAGCUGACCUCAGGGCUCAUUAAUACUCCAUCAGCCUAAUGUAGUCAAUCAGCAGAGCAGAGAAGAAACCCCAUCAGGACAGAAUAGCCCAAACCCAUAGAUCUAGCAAAUAAUCAGUUUAGCAAGAUUAUAGCCAAUGACAAGGGGAAAAGAAAGAAAAAAAAUAUGAAUAAACAACAGAAAAAGAAAAAAAAGAAAUUACAAUCAAAGUUUCUAUCCAGGUAAUAAACAAAGAACAAAUAGAACAGAGGAAGACCAAGGCACACUAAGCAAAAAUACAAGAACUCCAAUGAAUUAGACACAGACUUUGAAAGAACUCAAAACACAAUUCAAAAAACAAUUAAGAGAGACUGAAGACAACUUGAAAAGAAUUUAAAACACAAAAUAAAUCAUCUAGAAAUAGAGACACAUGAACUAAAACAAGAAAAUAGUGUCUUGAAAGCCAGAAUUGACCAGCUUGAAAAUUAGGCAAAGAAAGUGAAAGUUGACCUACAAAGAAAAACUUACCCAAAGGAGAAGGAUGUAUAAAAAGCCAGGGAUAAAAUUGAGUCUUUAAAAAUUAGAAUCCAACAAAUAAAUGCAAAUGACUUCAGGGCAGCAAGAGUCUAUAAAACAAAAUCAAAAGAAUGAAAUAGUUGAGGAAAAUAUGAAGCACCUCAUUGAUAAAACUACAGAAUUGGAGAACAGAUCCAGAAGAGACAAUUUAAGAAUUACUGGACUACCAGGAAAUCAUGACAAGAAAAAAAAAAGCUUGGAUAUCAUUCUGUAAGAAAUUAUCCAAGAAAACUGCCCUGACAUUCUUGAACAAGAGGGAAAAACAGAGAUUGAAAGAAUCCACAGAUAACCUCCUGCAUUUAAUCCCCAAUUGACAAUGCUCAGGAAUGUUAUAGUCAAAUUCAAGAACUACAAAACCAAGGAUAGGAUACUACAAACUGGUAAGAAAAAGACUUUCAGAAUCAUGGAACUACCAUUAGGAUAACAGAGGACCUGGCUGCAGUAACACUGAGGCAUGCAGUAUGAUAUUCCAGAAAGCAAGGGAAUUGGGUCUACAACCAAGAAUCAACUACUCAGCAAAUUGAUUAUAUUCUUGCAGUGGAAAAUAUGGUCAUUUAAUAAAAUACAAAACUUCCAAAUAUUCCUAAAGAAAUGACCUUACUUUAACUGACAAUUUGAUGCUCAAACACAGAACUGAAGAGAAUUACCAAAAAAGUAAUUAAGAAAGGGGGAAAAAACACCCUUUUUAAGGGACCCAAUAAGUUUAAAAUGAUUUGUCUUCCUAUAAGAAAAGAUGAUAUUGGUAACUCUUGAAAAUUGUUAUU